rnacentral:rRNA from 1 species
UACGGGGGGGGCAAGCGUUGUUCGGAUUUACUGGGCGUAAAGGGCGCGUAGGCGGCCACCGCAAGUCGACUGUGAAAUCUCCGGGCUUAACUCGGAAAGGUCAGCCGAUACUGCGGGGCUAGAGUGCAGAAGGGGCAACUGGAAUUCUCGGUGUAGCGGUGAAAUGCGUAGAUAUCGAGAGGAACACCUGCGGCGAAGGCGGGUUGCUGGGCUGAUACUGACGCUGAGGCGCGAAAGCCGGUAGGGAGCGAACGGGAUUAGAACUACCGGAGUCAGUC